UAAGUACCCUGCUCGCAGGUAUUACAGCUGGAGAUGGGAAAUGAACCGAUCAACCCUCCGCUGGCUGCAAACACCACGUCUGCCCCGCGAGAACUGAAACAGUCCCUUCUUUUAAACCACAUUUAGGAAACGCUUCACAAAAAAUUACAUGUCAAAAAUUUUCCAAAACAAAAGUACAUGUAGCAAUAUUUUUAAAACAUAUUUUAUACGCUUUUUUAUUACUUCUGAGUCAUCGCUGACUUGGGUAAUAAUGACGUUUUAACAACUAGUCCUCAGACACUUGCGAAGUUAUUUAGCUUUUUACACUGAAUUAUCUUGGCACCAGAUUAAGCCGUGAUUCCAGACGCCUAAUUUUCCUGCUGCGUAUAAAACCAAUUUUGAUUCUUUUUUUCUGCGCGACUCCACUCGAGCAGAACUGUACGGAAUAUUGCUGGAAAGCGCGGUGCAGAAGAUGCUUCUUCUUGUUGGAUAUUAUUAGUUACACGAGUAGCGGCGGUGUAACUUCUUCACGGCGAACACACUUCAGGAGAGUGAACCAAACCAGGCCAGAUUUCCUUGACUUACACGCCGUCGAAGAACAAAUUCUCAUCCAGUUCUUCUGGACAUCAUCCAGACCAAAGCUUCAUUUCUCAGGACGACAGAACCGAGAGCGAGUGGUAGAUGCUUUCUGACAACUUUGGAUUUGGAUCAGCAGGUCUGUUCACCAGAAGACCACCUGUACAAGGCAUGUGACACCAGAGGCUCCCGGCCCAGUCUCGGUCCCUCGUACGAUGUGAACGAAUUACAAAGAUGCUAAUAUGCAUGCUUGAGUUAUUAGUUUUAAAUGUGUUUUCAACAUUUCUUUUUUUUUUUUUUUUCAGCAGGGUGGACGUCGUGGCGACGCACGGUGCGGAAAAGUGUGAAAUUGCAGGGGCCAUGUGUGUUUAUUAAAAACACAGCGGUGUGAAAUGACAUUCCGAGCUAUUUGAAAUGCGGAGACGUAAUUAACGGAGAUCCCGCCGCCCUGCGCUUUCGACUCGGAGAGACAUCUGCCAUUAGCGUCUCCUUUACAAUCAGGCCCGCAUUGUGUCUCAAAUAAUGUAGCUCCUAGAGCAAACGCGGGAAAACGAACCCUUUUUUCUAAUGGCUCACAAUGUGUGAAAAUUGUGGGGGGCGGGGCUUAAACACUAUAUCUGUCUUAUUCUGUUAUUCUGCUCGCUCCUCCUGCUUUUUUCUGACUGGCGCACACACACACACACACACACACACACACACACACACACACACACACACACACACACACACACACUCUUCUAUCUACUUUACACCUGCCAACACACCAAUGUCGUCUUUAACAAAAUACCUUCAUUUACAGGCACAAGCAAGAAUGGCACACGGGCGCUUCGGCAAAGUAAGGAAAUAAAAUACAGUUGAAAUUCCAGUCAAGGCACACUUUGUGCCAUCAUUAAUACCACUUGGGUGGAAAGGGGGGGGGGGGGGGGUA